ACCGGUUUCGGCCGGGGAUUAGUGGCGAACGGGUGAGUAACACGUGGGCAAUCUGCCCUUCACUCUGGGACAAGCCCUGGAAACGGGGUCUAAUACCGGAUAUGACACACGGAGGCAUCUCCUGUGUGUGGAAAGCUCCGGCGGUGAAGGAUGAGCCCGCGGCCUAUCAGCUUGUUGGUGGGGUGAUGGCCUACCAAGGCGACGACGGGUAGCCGGCCUGAGAGGGCGACCGGCCACACUGGGACUGAGACACGGCCCAGACUCCUACGGGAGGCAGCAGUGGGGAAUAUUGCACAAUGGGCGAAAGCCUGAUGCAGCGACGCCGCGUGAGGGAUGACGGCCUUCGGGUUGUAAACCUCUUUCAGCAGGGAAGAAGCGAGAGUGACGGUACCUGCAGAAGAAGCGCCGGCUAACUACGUGCCAGCAGCCGCGGUAAUACGUAGGGCGCAAGCGUUGUCCGGAAUUAUUGGGCGUAAAGAGCUCGUAGGCGGCUUGUCGCGUCGGAUGUGAAAGCCCGGGGCUUAACCCCGGGUCUGCAUUCGAUACGGGCAGGCUAGAGUUCGGUAGGGGAGAUCGGAAUUCCUGGUGUAGCGGUGAAAUGCGCAGAUAUCAGGAGGAACACCGGUGGCGAAGGCGGAUCUCUGGGCCGAUACUGACGCUGAGGAGCGAAAGCGUGGGGAGCGAACAGGAUUAGAUACCCUGGUAGUCCACGCCGUAAACGUUGGGAACUAGGUGUGGGCGACAUUCCACGUCGUCCGUGCCGCAGCUAACGCAUUAAGUUC
rnacentral:rRNA from 2 species